CUACACAUGCAGUCGAGCGGUAAGGCCCUUCGGGGUACACGAGCGGCGAACGGGUGAGUAACACGUGGGUGAUCUGCCUCGCACUCUGGGAUAAGCCUGGGAAACUGGGUCUAAUACCGGAUAUGAGCAUGGUCUGCAUGGACUGUGUUGGAAAGGUUUACUGGUGCGAGAUGGGCCCGCGGCCUAUCAGCUUGUUGGUGGGGUAACGGCCUACCAAGGCGACGACGGGUAGCCGGCCUGAGAGGGCGACCGGCCACACUGGGACUGAGACACGGCCCAGACUCCUACGGGAGGCAGCAGUGGGGAAUAUUGCACAAUGGGCGAAAGCCUGAUGCAGCGACGCCGCGUGAGGGAUGACGGCCUUCGGGUUGUAAACCUCUUUCGACAGGGACGAAGCGCAAGUGACGGUACCUGUAGAAGAAGCACCGGCCAACUACGUGCCAGCAGCCGCGGUAAUACGUAGGGUGCGAGCGUUGUCCGGAAUUACUGGGCGUAAAGAGCUUGUAGGCGGUCUGUCGCGUCGAUUGUGAAAACUCACAGCUCAACUGUGAGCCUGCAGUCGAUACGGGCAGACUAGAGUACUUCAGGGGAGACUGGAAUUCCUGGUGUAGCGGUGAAAUGCGCAGAUAUCAGGAGGAACACCGGUGGCGAAGGCGGGUCUCUGGGAAGUAACUGACGCUGAGAAGCGAAAGCGUGGGUAGCGAACAGGAUUAGAUACCCUGGUAGUCCACGCCGUAAACGGUGGGUACUAGGUGUGGGUUUCCUUCCACGGGAUCCGUGCCGUAGCUAACGCAUUAAGUACCCCGCCUGGGGAGUACGGCCGCAAGGCUAAAACUCAAAGGAAUUGACGGGGGCCCGCACAAGCGGCGGAGCAUGUGGAUUAAUUCGAUGCAACGCGAAGAACCUUACCUGGGUUUGACAUACACCGGAAAGCCGUAGAGAUACGGCCCCCCUUGUGGUCGGUGUACAGGUGGUGCAUGGCUGUCGUCAGCUCGUGUCGUGAGAUGUUGGGUUAAGUCCCGCAACGAGCGCAACCCUUAUCUUAUGUUGCCAGCGCGUAAUGGCGGGGACUCGUGAGAGACUGCCGGGGUCAACUCCGGAGGAAGGUGGGGACGACGUCAAGUCAUCAUGCCCCUUAUGUCCAGGGCUUCACACAUGCUACAAUGGCCGGUACAGAGGGCUGCGAUACCGUGAGGUGGAGCGAAUCCCUUAAAGCCGGUCUCAGUUCGGAUCGGGGUCUGCAACUCGACCCCGUGAAGUUGGAGUCGCUAGUAAUCGCAGAUCAGCAACGCUGCGGUGAAUACGUUCCCGGGCCUUGUACACACCGCCCGUCACGUCAUGAAAGUCGGUAACACCCGAAGCCGGUGGCCU
rnacentral:rRNA from 1 species